AGCGAACGCUGGCGGCGGGCUUAACACAUGCAAGUCGAGCGGGCAUCCUUGUGGUGUCAGCGGCAGACGGGUGAGUAACGCGUGGGAACGUGCCCUUCGGUUCGGAAUAACUCAGGGAAACUUGAGCUAAUACCGGAUACGUGCGAGAGCAGAAAGGUUUAUCUGCCGAAGGAUCGGCCCGCGUCUGAUUAGCUAGUUGGUGAGGUUAUGGCUCACCAAGGCGACGAUCAGUAGCUGGUCUGAGAGGAUGAUCAGCCACACUGGGACUGAGACACGGCCCAGACUCCUACGGGAGGCAGCAGUGGGGAAUAUUGGACAAUGGGGGCAACCCUGAUCCAGCCAUGCCGCGUGAGUGAUGACGGCCUUAGGGUUGUAAAGCUCUUUUCUCCGGGACGAUGAUGACGGUACCGGAGGAAUAAGCCCCGGCUAACUUCGUG
rnacentral:rRNA from 1 species